rnacentral:rRNA from 1 species
UGCAAGUCGAACGGUAACAGGAACUAGCUUGCUAGUUUGCUGACAAGUGGCGCACGGGUGAGUAAUAUAUAGUUAAUGUACCCCAAAGACCGGGAUAGCCACUGGAAACGGUGAUUAAUACUGGAUACACCUUCAUAUCAUAAGGUAUGAAGGGAAAUGUUUUUUCGCUUUGGGAUCAGACUAUAUCCUAUCAGUUAGUUGGUGAGGUAAUGGCUUACCAAGGCGAUGACGGGUAGCGGUCCUGAGAGGAUGAUCCGCCACACUGGUACUGAGACACGGACCAGACUCCUACGGGAGGCAGCAGUGAGGAAUAUUGCACAAUGGGGGGAACCCUGAUGCAGCAACGCCGCGUGGAGGAUGACGCAUUUCGGUGUGUAAACUCCUUUUAUAUGUCAAGAAAAUGACGGUAGCAUAUGAAUAAGCACCGGCUAACUCCGUGCCAGCAGCCGCGGUAAUACGGAGGGUGCAAGCGUUACUCGGAAUCACUGGGCGUAAAGGACGCGUAGGCUGUUUAGCAAGUCAGAUGUGAAAUCCAAUGGCUCAACCAUUGAACUGCAUUUGAAACUGCUAGACUAGAGUAUGGGAGGGGCAGAUGGAAUUAGUGGUGUAGGGGUAAAAUCCGUAGAUAUCACUAGGAAUACCUAAAGCGAAGGCGAUCUGCUGGAACAUUACUGACGCUAAGGCGUGAAAGCGUGGGGAG